UACAGGGGGUGCAAACUUUGCUCGGAAUCAUUGGGCGUAAAGCGCACGUAGGCGGUUCGUUAUGUCGGAUGUGAAAGCCCUUGGCUUAACCGAGGAAGUGCAUCCGAAACUGGCGAGCUAGAGUACUAAAGAGGAUCGCGGAAUUCCCGGUGUAGAGGUGAAAUUCGUAGAUAUCGGGAGGAACACCGGUGGCGAAGGCGGCGAUCUGGCCCAACAUUGACACUGAGACCCGAAAGCGUGGGGAUCAAACAGG
rnacentral:rRNA from 1 species